rnacentral:rRNA from 1 species
AUUGAACGCUGGCGGCAGGCUUAACACAUGCAAGUCGAGCGGAGAUGAGGUGCUUGCACCUUAUCUUAGCGGCGGACGGGUGAGUAAUGCUUAGGAAUCUGCCUAUUAGUGGGGGACAACAUUCCGAAAGGAAUGCUAAUACCGCAUACGUCCUACGGGAGAAAGCAGGGGAUCUUCGGACCUUGCGCUAAUAGAUGAGCCUAAGUCGGAUUAGCUAGUUGGUGGGGUAAAGGCCUACCAAGGCGACGAUCUGUAGCGGGGCUGAGAGGAUGGGCCGCCACACUGGGACUGAGACACGGCCCAGACUCCUACGGGAGGCAGCAGUGGGGAAUAUUGGACAAUGGGGGAAACCCUGAUCCAGCCAUGCCGCGUGUGUGAAGAAGGCCUUAUGGUUGUAAAGCACUUUAAGCGAGGAGGAGGCUACUGAGACUAAUACUCUUGGAUAGUGGACGUUACUCGCAGAAUAAGCACCGGCUAACUCUGUGCCAGCCGCCGCCGUAA